rnacentral:rRNA from 1 species
CCUACGGGAGGCAGCAGUGAGGAAUAUUGGUCAAUGGCCGAGAGGCUGAACCAGCCAAGUCGCGUGAGGGAAGAAUGUCCUAAGGAUUGUAAACCUCUUUUGUCGGGGAGCAAAAAGGCUCUGCGGAGUCGUAUUGAGAGUACCCGAAGAAAAAGCAUCGGCUAACUCCGUGCCAGCAGCCGCGGUAAUACGGAGGAUGCGAGCGUUAUCCGGAUUUAUUGAGUUUAAAGGGUGCGCAGGCGGGCAUUUAAGCCGGCGGUCAAAUGUCGGGGCUCAACCCCGGCCUGCCGUCGGAACUGGGUGCCUUGAGUGGGCGAGAAGUAUGCGGAAUGCGUGGUGUAGCGGUGAAAUGCAUAGAUAUCACGCAGAACCCCGAUUGCGAAGGCAACAUACCGGCGCCCUACUGACGCUGAGGCACGAAAGUGCGGGUAUCGAACAGGAUUAGAUACCCCAGUAGUC